rnacentral:lncRNA from 1 species
AUCUGUCUGGCAGAUAUGGAGACGGAAAGCACAAGAGGAUUGUGUUAGGAGUCUUAAGGGCUGGAUGUGACACUCCUUGAAAGGGAAGCUGGGGAAUGAGUAUGUAGGUGUGUGUCCAGGAUGUAGGGAAAAUGGGUUUGGUGGGGACAGCACUUCCUGGAAUAACGUUGCUUUGGAUUUAACAACAGUUGGGCAAAGGAGGUCGGUAUACAGAUACAGGACAAGAAGAGUGGUGUCAAAGGGAGGCUAAAUCAUUGGUUCUGGCUUCAUCUAAGGAAUUCUUAUGAGAAAUCGAGGGAGAGACUGUCCUGGGAAGUCUGAUGAAACAUGCAUGAGUCUUCGUUGAAACCGUGGGAGGAAGAAGAGUUUUACCAAUCACCAGUGCUGAAGAAAUCUCUCCUUUCUGGGCAGGAUGAGGGAAUCACUAAAUGACGAGAUCAAGAUAUUUUAACUUCUGUGUUUAGCGCCUUUAAUAGAUUGAGCUAAGAAGUCUAAGCAAUCUUCAGGGCUAAGAAACAAGCUGCACUUGCCAGAGUUGGAUGUUCACACCUUGGUGAUGGCUGAUAUUAAACAGAAUUCUUAAUGAACAAAUCGGCCUUGAAAAGGGAACAUGGUGAAGCAAGACAAAAGAAUUACAAACUUUGACUGAAACUUUCUCCUACCAGGAAUACAGGGACCGCUCACCAGGUUGUGAUGAGAAGGAUCAUCUGAAAUGCUCCAUUGCUCUCAGAAGUUGAGGUAACUUCAUUGGGCCCAAACUGAUAAACUAGGAAUGGCUCAGAAAAUAGCCCCUUAGAAGAACUGUAUGAAGCUUGGAUCCAUUUUUCUG